GUCCUAAGGAUCCCUGAUACACACUGACACAGAGCAGAAUAGGGACUGUUCCCCCUACAUAGGGUCACUUGGCAGAUAUGGAUUGGCACCUAUCCUAAGGAUCCCUGAUACACACUGACACAGAGCAUAAUAGGGACUGUUCCCCCUACAUAGGGUCACUUGGCAGAUAUGGAUUGACACCUAUCCUAAGGAUCCCUGAUAAACACUGACACAGAGCAGAAUAGGGACUGUUCCCCCUACAUAGGGUCACUUGGCAGAUAUGGAUUGACACCUGUCUUCAGAGACCAUGAU